rnacentral:sRNA from 1 species
UUGAAUAAGCCCGUAUCACCGUAGAAAGCUGGUGCCAACAUUGGCUUAAUAUCCUGCCGAGGUGAAGUGCGCGAGAAUGUCCCCCAGCCGUUGCGGCUGAUUUCCUGCGUCUUUGCCUGGCAGUUUUCGGGCGAAGACGUUUUAUUUUUCAGGA